AUGAGCUUCUACAGCCUGCCUGAGACUCUGCACCAUGAGAUUGCCAGAGUUCAAGGGCGCUUCUUCUGGGUUGGCGAGGGCGACAAGCAGAAGUACCACAUGGUCCGGUGGACUGAGAUCUGUAAGCCUCGUGAUCAGGGUGGUCUUGGGAUCAUGUCUUCCAAACGCAUGAGCAUUGCCCUCCUGACUAGGUGGCUCUAGCGGAUUAUGAAUAGUGAGGGUGGCUUAUGGCUCCGCAUCAUCCAGUAG
rnacentral:rRNA from 1 species